UACGAAGGGGGCUAGCGUUGCUCGGAAUCACUGGGCGUAAAGGGUGUGUAGGCGGGUCUUUAAGUCAGGGGUGAAAUCCUGGAGCUCAACUCCAGAACUGCCUUUGAUACUGAAGAUCUUGAGUUCGGGAGAGGUGAGUGGAACUGCGAGUGUAGAGGUGAAAUUCGUAGAUAUUCGCAAGAACACCAGUGGCGAAGGCGGCUCACUGGCCCGAUACUGACGCUGAGGCACGAAAGCGUGGGGAGCAAACAGG
rnacentral:rRNA from 1 species